rnacentral:rRNA from 1 species
UGGGGAAUUUUGGACAAUGGACGCAAGUCUGAUCCAGCCAUGCCGCGUGCGGGAAGAAGCCUUCGGGUUGUAAACCGCUUUUUGUCAGGGAAGAAGCGAAAGUGACGGUACCUGCAGAAAAAGCACCGGCUAACUACGUGC